UACAGAGGGUGCAAGCGUUGUUCGGAAUUAUUGGGCGUAAAGCGCGUGUAGGCGGCUUUGCAAGUCGGGUGUGAAAGCCCUCAGCUCAACUGAGGAAGUGCGCCCGAAACUGCAGAGCUUGAGUGCCGGAGAGGGUGGCGGAAUUCCCCAAGUAGAGGUGAAAUUCGUAGAUAUGGGGAGGAACACCCGUGGCUAAGGCGGCUCUCUAGUACGGUACUGACGCUGAGACGCGAAAGCGUGGGGAGCGAACAGG
rnacentral:rRNA from 1 species